rnacentral:miRNA from 1 species
GUGGGGUGUGUGCCGGAGCCUGCUUGCUUGUGUCCUGGGGCUGAGGCCUGGUCCUGUACCCACCCUGC